UGUUCCUCUAUCAUGUAAUAAUGAACCUUAAAGCUCUUAUUGUGAAAGUCUGCUUCCUGCCAGGUGGGGCUGUGACUCAUCAGGAAAUAACUCACCUGAGUUGUUGAAGAAACAGUCCAGUGAGGCUGAGACGCAGUUCUUUCUCUCGGAGGGGAGCUCCAGAUGAAGGGUUAGGAGACCCUUUUUCUCUCCAGAGGCUGAGACUCAGUUCUUUCUCUCGACGUGGAUCUCCAGCUGAAGGUCUCUGAACUCGUCUGUCUGGAACGUUCUGCUCGUCAACUCAAGCUGUGGUUCUUUAGUUUAGAGAGGAUCACCUCACUUCUAAAGCAGGGACAAAAGAUGGAGACGCCUAAAGAAUCAGAAUCAGAAGUCGUCUUAGGAAUCUUAGAAGACUUGGGAGCUGAGGACUAUGAAGAGUUUAAGUGGUACCUGCAGAGAGCCCCCAACGGCUUCCCAGCAAUCAAAAAGUGGAAAUUAGAGAAAGCCAACAGGCAUCAAACAGUGGAUUUGAUGCUCCACACCUACAGUAAAAACAUUAUUGAUGUGAUCAUAAUAGUUUUAGUGAAGAUGGUUCGAAAUGAUCUGGUGGAUAUCAUUUAUGACCACUGGCCUGAAAAGGGUAUUUUUAAACCUAUCGCACAUAAAAACAAGCAUUUCAUAAAAAAAACAAGUGCCAGGAAUAAGAAAACAUACAGUAAUUAUAGGAAUAAACCCACACAUAUAAGGAAAAGGAAAAGUAACCACUAUGCAUACCCCAGACAGGCAUCAGAUGGUGACUCCAAGAAGUCUUGUAAAGUGCAGAAUCAAGUACUCAACCAGAGCCAAAACAGCACCGUGCUCCCAAAUACUGUGUGCAAAUACUCACACCUCAGUAAUAAAGUCACCCAGAUUGAUUUAUUAUUUACCAACCGACCUGAGAGAAUAUUUAUAUUAAAU